UGGGUCGGCUGGACGGUCGCGUCGCGGGGCUUCGGCUGCCGCGCCGAGGAACGUCCGGGCUCCACAGGGCAGGGCGGUGGGUAACACCCACCCGGAGCGAUCCGCGAGACAGUGCCACAGAGAGCAGACCGCCUCCUCGUCCCCGAGCUCGUCUCAGGACCGAAGAGGUAAGGGUGAAAGGGCGGUGUAAGAGACCACCGGGGUCGUGGUGACACGACCCGCACGGCAAACCUCGCCCGGAGCAAGGCCAGACAGGGGAUGAUGACGCGGCCCGCCGAGUCCCCGGGUAGGCCGCUGGAGCGGCACGGCAACGUGUCGCCGAGAGAGAUGACCGUCCACGGGGCUUCGGCCCCCGGACAGAACCCGGCGUACAGGCCGGCCCAUUCG
rnacentral:RNase_P_RNA from 1 species